CCAGAUUGCCAAUUUGUCAAGAUCCUGGAUGGAAUUGAAUGGGCUGCAUACUUACAACACCCUCCCCUGAGUCAUCAAUGAACAAGGAAACAAUUAAUGAAUAAUGAAAAAGAAUUUUACCAAACAGGUAUAAACCCAGCCUGGUCGUCUUGAAUUAAAUCUGGUUACUACCUACAGCUAUCAGCUGGCCUCUGAGCACACAUUUCUUAGUUUCCCACAAUGUCGCCAAGCUAACAUCUGGUCCCAAAUUCUCUUUAAGUAUUUGUUGAAGCAUAUCCCUAAUUUUAUUUUUUAUAUCUUUUCUGUGUAGCAAUAAAUUGUUGAACCUCCAAGUGUAUUCUUUUUCAUUUAUUUAUGGUAAUUCCAACCUGAGAGUUAUUGGGUAGUGGUUCCCCUUUAUUAUAACAUAUCUACCUUCCUUAUCUAUUUUCUUCUCUUGUAGUACAAACGGUAAGUCUUUGUGAAUCAUUAUUAGUACUCCUGUUGCUUUCUUCUCUGGGUUAUUACUAUAAUAAAUCUGUGUAUAAAGUCUAUCCAUUAUCCUUGGGGUGUGACCUUCUUUAAAGUGGGUUUCUUGAAACAUUAUUAUAUGUGCCUGUAGUUUUUUACAUGUGUUUAGGAUUUGGCUUCUCUUAACAGGUUCGUUCAGCCCAUUUACAUUAUAGCUUAAAAUUAAACACAUUUACUUUAAAAUACCUUCUUGUAACGUGUACCAUUAUAUUUUUAACCUCUCGUCCUAUAUCAUCUACUUUAUGAAAGUUAAAGUCCACACAGAGAGAAAAUGGCCUGU